rnacentral:rRNA from 1 species
UACGUAGGAUGCAAGCGUUGUCCGGAAUUAUUGGGCGUAAAGAGCGUGUAGGCGGCUUGGCAAGUCCGCUGUGAAAACUCGAGGCUUAACCUCGAGCUGUCGGCGGAAACCAUCUGGCUAGAGUCCGGAGGAGGAGAAUGGAAUUCCCGGUGUAGCGGUGAAAUGCGCAGAUAUCGGGAAGAACACCCGUGGCGAAGGCGGCUCUCUGGGACGGUACUGACGCUGAGACGCGAAAGCGUGGGGAGCGAACAGG